AGUCCAACUAUCCAAACACUAACUCAGAUCCCAUCUACCCCCUCCUCCCAUCGCACUCCUCCUCCCUCGUCCUCAUGUCCUCGCCGCCGCCACCGACGGCUCCCGACCCAAACUCAGAUCCCAUCACCAUGACGCGUCGUCGCCGUCGCACCUUCCACCACCGACGUCCCCGUCUCGCAUCGUCCCCGUCAACUCGCAGACGCCCCGCAACGAGCCCAACAAAACCUCGCGCACCCCCACACCUUCUUCGCCGACGCGGCCAUGAUGGCGGUGGCGACCGUGAGCUAGGCCGGCAUGGUGACCCCGCGCCGCGCCGCCGCCCGAUCCGCGACAGCCAGCUCCACCGCAAGGAGCCUGGAGGACCAUCCUUCCAGAGAGGCAAGCGUUCACUAAAGGCAUGGCGCACGAUGAAGCUGUGGCUGCCUAGAAGACUGGGAAAUCAGGUACACCCCCUAAGGGCGAGGCCGGAGAUGUCUGUGCGGUGAUGUCCCUGGGGUGGCGCCACUAUGCCCGACGCUUGCCCUGGUCGCCGCAGUGGUGCUUCGGUGGCUUCCAGACCCUCUCCUGGAUGUGGUGAUGGUCACACCACAGCCGUAGUGUGGCUGAGCCUCCGCUACAGCUACAACCUCCCUCUGGAGAGAACCUAGUGUCUUAUAUGGGGAAGCAAAGCAGCAGCUCACAACUCCGACCUGCAACUCCCGAUGAAGGCACAACGACGCACCAUGCUGCUCCUUUGGAAGAUACUGGCCUUCAUUCAUCAAAAGUUGGUGUACAAGAGCUCCAGGAGAAGAAUCCCGAAGAAAACCAGCACCCAACUAUGUGUUUUAGCUCCCUGGAGCUGGCCAUGUUAAUAUUAGGUGUAUUUUAUAGUUGAAUACCUGAUUUGUACUGCCAUGACUGUAAAGUACUUCGUUUGGCUGUCGUCUGAAAUUGUAUGUGUUAUUGCCUCUGUUUGAAUUAAGUUAUUGGUUAUUGCACAAA